UACAGAGGGGGCUAGCGUUGUUCGGAAUUACUGGGCGUAAAGGGCGCGUAGGUGGCCUGUUAAGUCGAACGUGAAAUCCCCGGGCUCAACCCGGGAACUGCGUCCGAGACUGGCAGGCUCGAAUCCGGGAGAGGGAUGUGGAAUUCCAGGUGUAGCGGUGGAAUGCGUAGAGAUCGGGAAGAACAUCAGUGGCGAAGGCGGCCUGCUGGGCUGUUGCUGACGCUGAGGCGCGACAGCGUGGGGAGCAAACAGG
rnacentral:rRNA from 1 species